AGGAAGUAUUGUUGUCGUUGAAUGAAAGGAAUAAUUUCACAAUAAGAAAAGACAGUUGGAUAAGUAUGUAGCGUGAUCAGAGAGAAGUCGAGCAACGUAAAGUUCAAGACGUUUAAUUUGAGUGAUUUCACAUUUAGGAAGGAGACCAUAUAUACAACAACAGCACUCUGUAGCAGGUUUAUGUAUAAUUUAUAUAUAAAAGCCAUAGUAACGGAAUCCAGAUUUGUAGAUGGAAGAAAUUUGCGAGUUCCUUUUUAGGUUAUCUGAGAUUAAAAUGCCAUGGUAUUUGAAACUGUGAACUUCUUCAACAAUUGUGCCAUGGAGAAAAAGUGAGGGAAAUUAGCUGGAUUUCUACGAAAGUCUAUAGGCCUAUUCAUAAUUCUACAUAGGGGCGAAGGACAAACCAUUGCUGUGAGACCAAGAUUCCAGGAGUGAGGCAAUAUGUGGUACCGUUAAUUGGUCCGAAGAUACGUCCUUAGAAUAACAUAACAUAACGAUUUCAUCGGCAUAAAGUAAAAAUGGGCAACCAAAGUUGCUGGCAAUGUCAUUGAUAAAACAUAAAAAAUAAAAAGAAUAGAUCCAAGUUUAAUGCCUUGAAUGACACUACUUUUGAUAGGAAAUUUGCUUGAAAUGAUUCCAUUAAAUGAAGUGCAUUGAGGUCUAUCAUAGAGACAAUUGCCAAUCCAAGAAUCAAGAGUGUGGCGAAUACGAAAAUGAUUAUUAGACAACUUAAAUAAAAACAAUUCAUGAGGAACAGAAUCAAAAGCACGCCGGAUAUCAAGGAACCUAUUAGUAAUUUUCCAAAACACUUUUAUAUCCCGUUUAUUCUGCUUUCUUUGCUUACUUAGAUGGAAUAGACAAUAACUGGAGUUGUGUCAGGAGAAUCAAGUAUAGGUGUAAUUUUGCCCUACCUGAGGUGGAAAUGUACUGAAUAUUCAGUAUGUGUGAAAACUGCAAAAAAAAAAAAUCGCAAUUUGUACUCGGGUGGAAUUCGAACGCACAAUCUCCAGAUCUUUAGCCUGGCAUCAUACCUCUCAGUAGACCACCGAGAUUGCGCCUGAUGGUCAGGGUUGAAUUCGAGUCCAAGUGAUCGAAUGAGGACCAGGAUCAGUGAAUUUGACGUGUACAAAUUACAACCCCGGACUGUAAUGGACCUCCAAAUUGGACAAUAGUCGGAUGUAUUAGGUGUACUGUAAAUGCAACACCUCUACAUAAAUGUAUAGCUGUCUUAUACAAAAAGAACCAAUAAUGAAUAAUUUGUACCCAGCUUUUAUAUUGCACAUACACCUAUGCUUUGGAUCAUACACUUAUAAAAUAAAAUUAAAAUCUGAAAAUUAAUUAACAGUAGACAUGCUGUACAAGAUUGUAGAGAUACCAUGUUAGUCAGCCUGUAAUACAUACAGAAUGAAAAUACAGAUAGUAUACUUUAUUGACUGACUCAAAUUAUUUUACAAAAGCUUUCACCAUCAGUCUAUGCAUUAGGUGUUUUGAAAUAAGAGUAAAAGAACACUCUUUUCAAGAAAGCCACUUGAGAAAAUUCAAGUGUUCCCUGAAAACUAGCUACAUAGUGUAAAUGGAAAAUAUAGUAUGAGCAUAGGUACACGGCAUGCUGUGACCAUAUCACACACCGUACAUAUAUUUGCUCCUUCGACAAGGUGAACUUUUCUGGCAGCAGUGGUGUCCCUGCAUCUUUUUUCAGAUACACAUCAGCCAGUUUGCUGUUGUCACUAUCACCCUAGUUUAAAAAAAAAAAAA